rnacentral:misc_RNA from 1 species
AAGUCGUAACAAGGUAUCCGUAGGUGAACCUGCGGAUGGAUCAUUACUAAAAUAUCCAUCCUACGUAAUGUGAACCAUAGUCAGUUUUGGUGUGCUGUGAUGGCCAUCAGUACUGACUACACUGUAUGUAAAUUUAAACUGACUGAGAGUACUAUACUUAUAGUAACCAAUGAGAACUUUUAGCAACGGAUCUCUUGGCUCUC